rnacentral:rRNA from 1 species
UCCUGGCUCAGGAUGAACGCUGGCGGCGUGCUUAACACAUGCAAGUCGAACGAGGAUUUAACGGAAUGCGAUUCGUCAAAUGAAAUUAAAUCCGAGUGGCGGACGGGUGAGUAACGCGUGGAUAACCUGCCUCACACAGGGGGACAACAGUUGGAAACGACUGCUAAUACCGCAUAACACAAGUAAUUCGCAUGAAUAACUUGCCAAAGAUUAUAUCGGUGUGAGAUGGAUCCGCGUCUGAUUAGCCAGUUGGCGGGGUAACGGCCCACCAAAGCGACGAUCAGUAGCCGACCUGAGAGGGUGACCGGCCACAUUGGGACUGAGACACGGCCCAAACUCCUACGGGAGGCAGCAGUGGGGAAUAUUGCACAAUGGGCGAAAGCCUGAUGCAGCGACGCCGCGUGAAGGAUGAAGUAUUUCGGUAUGUAAACUUCUAUCAGCAGGGAAGAAAAUGACGGUACCUGACUAAGAAGCCCCGGCUAACUACGUGCCAGCAGCCGCGGUAAUACGUAGGGGGCAAGCGUUAUCCGGAUUUACUGGGUGUAAAGGGAGCGUAGAUGGCAUGGCAAGUCUGAAGUGAAAGCCCGGGGCUUAACCCCGGGACUGCUUUGGAAACUGUUAAGCUAGAGUGCAGGAGAGGUAAGCGGAAUUCCUAGUGUAGCGGUGAAAUGCGUAGAUAUUAGGAGGAACACCGGUGGCGAAGGCGGCUUACUGGACUGUAACUGACGUUGAGGCUCGAAAGCGUGGGGAGCAAACAGGAUUAGAUACCCUGGUAGUCCACGC